rnacentral:rRNA from 1 species
CCUACGGGUGGCAGCAGUGAGGAAUAUUGGUCAAUGGACGCAAGUCUGAACCAGCCAUGCCGCGUGCAGGAAGACGGCUCUAUGAGUUGUAAACUGCUUUUGUACGAGGGUAAACGCAGAGACGUGUAUCUGUCUGAAAGUACUGUACGAAUAAGGAUCGGCUAACUCCGUGCCAGCAGCCGCGGUAAUACGGAGGAUUCAAGCGUUAUCCGGAUUGAUUGGGUGUAAAGGGUGCGUAGGCGGUAGGAUAAGUUAGAGGUGAAAUGCAGAGGCUCAACUUCGGAAUUGCCUGUGAUACUGUUAGGCUAGAGAGUAGUUGAGGUAGGCGGAAUGUAUGGUGUAGCGGUGAAAUGCUUAGAGAGCAUACAGAACACCGAUUGCGAAGGCAGCUUACCGAGCUACUUCUGACGUUGAGGCACGAAAGCGUGGGGAGCAAACAGGAUUAGAUACCCGAGUAGUC